rnacentral:rRNA from 1 species
UAAAACAUAGCGUUAAUGCAUUGAAUCUCAUUAGAACUCUGCAAUUAAGUGCACUCAAGCUAGAGUAGUACUGGGAUGGGUGACUGCCCAGGAAAUCCUAUUGUUUUAC